CCACAUGGCUGCCGGCUCCUUGUGCUUUCCUCGCUAAACUGAUGUAAUUAAGCAGAAUUGUUCCCUUGCCUCCCCUGCAGCGCUUCAGUCCCGCAAAGUUUCUUCAAAGAAACCCCCAGCCUGGAACUGGUGCGGCUCUGCAGAGGGAAACGCCGCACUGUACUUCAAAGCGCAGAAAAUCUGCAGCUGCCGGGAGCCCGUCUGCCCCAGGAGGUGUCACUGUUGGGACUGGCAGGGUUUUUUGUUACUGUCUGCAUUGUAGACAGCGCAUUACUGGAGAAGCUGCAUAGACCUGAGGUAUGUAGUUCAGCCAUGCCAAAGACUCCACAGUCUGCACUGAACUACAAAACCAGUCCUGGUGCAGAAGCUAGGAGGUCUUGCUCAUCUUCUUCUUGCACUGACGGCACUUGCUGUGGAAAAGCAGAGGACCCAGACCCACCCCAGUACUCCAGGUUAUGUCCUGUCUUAUGGACUACUACAGAAUCACUAACAGCAUCGCACACAAAGGCACCACGGGACUCCCACCGUCACCAGAGCUCUCCGCCUGCCUCUGGCGCUGGGCUGUCAGAACCGCUUCAGCUGAAAUCAAGUUCUUUAGAUUUAUGCAGUAGCCAUGUUUGUCAAAGUAUUUGGCACCGGUGACAUCAUCUUUGUUGAAACGCCGGACAGCGUGAUGAGUCCCAGAUGUUAAUGCACACUGAGAGUCGAGAAAGAAUAAAAUUCAAAGGUCGACGCUAACAACUAUGGAGGAGUGCACUCACUUUACAUUCUGGGGUACAUGGAUGAAUAUGUGUUUUUUUACAACACAUCCUAAAGCUGUUAAACCUUAGAGGCCAUUUAAAAGAUGAGCAAGAACAAACAACGUGAUUAAAGGGUGCUGCCGAAAGCUGUACAGGUGUCAGCUGCCACCACUGCUCAUUACACAGAUGAAGCUGUCAACUUUUAAUUUAUAGACAAUUUGAGAAGGGGUACAUGAAGACUUGAAAAGAAGGCUUUCUUUCGCUAAAAGGAAAAAAAGAACUGUUAUAAGAACCUCUGCUGAAAUGCACUGGUCAUCAACACAGGAUACUGGAAGAUUCAGAGGGUGAGAGAAGACUGUUCGUACAGAAACUAGUUCCAAGGCUGGAAAAACCAGAUGAUGAUGUGUUGAAUUGAUGUUGAUGAAGUCUAUAUUUUGGAAACUUCAAUUAGAGCCAAAGAAUGUUUCCAGGGUGAAGCAGAAGAUGUGAGAUCAAAAUAGACACUGUCUUCUUGAGCUUUACUGACUGCAAAAACAGAAGAUAUUCUGCUGAGUGAUGUUUUUGUCCUGUCAUGUCCUAAGCUUCCACAUCCCCCUGUUCAAACAAAUGCCAGGCAGUCCCUGUGUUGGCUGCAGAAGGAGUUUGAGCAUGCAGACCAAGAUUAAAUCAUAACCAGAGUCUGUCUGAAACCCUGUCUGCCAGUAAGAACAGCAGCCGAGUUAAGAUGUAUCACAGCAAUGAGCUGCCUCACUAAAGCUGACUGAACAUUGAGUCUUGACUGCCUGCUUAUGACUGCACGUAACCUUUUCAAAAGCACCCAAAUACCUUAGAAGCUUGAUUCUCAUCGCAAGUUAGAUAGCUGAAGGUUCCCACAACCACUUCUGUUUUCCUGGAUACCCGUCAACUGUUCACACUCAGAGACCUUGGAAGGGUAACCAACUUUGAAGAUUUUGGAGCCGGCUUUUUGCCUGAAGGGAAACUAUUGAGUUUCAUCUCAUCCCUGUUGUGGUUAAUUCCAGGACACUGGGAAAGACCCGGAGCUCUAAACGCUGGAUUAAGAUCUUCACUUCAGCAGCUGAG